AACCAUUCUCACCUGCGGCUAGACCUGCGGAAGGAUCAUUAUCGUUGGGCUUCGGCCCAUUCGAGAUAACACCCUUGCCUUUUUGAGUACCUUUUCGUUUCCUCGGCAGGCUCGCCUGCCAACGGGGACCCUUCAAAACGCUUUGUAAUACCUGUAACUGUCUGAUACAACAAGCAAAAAUCAAAACUUUCAACAAUGGAUCU
rnacentral:misc_RNA from 1 species